rnacentral:lncRNA from 1 species
UAGAUGAAGUAGUUCAAGUAAGCUUUUAAUGGUUUUUGAAUAGUCGUCAUACUUUUUAAGACUUGACAUAAAUAUACAAAAUGAUAUAUUAUAAAUUUAUUCUAAAGUUGUUUGGAAAUGCAAUGUGCAGUUUUAGGAAACAAUGUCAUAACUCCUGUGUAUAUGGUUAUUGCAUCUGAUAAUUGAUAAAUUACUUGAAAUUCUUAUACUUUCAAUUAAUAUAUACAGG